CGUUAGAGCUUAGCUCAUGCAGUCGGACGGCGCCGGUGCUUCGGCCUGGUGGCGAGCUGGCGAACGGGUGAGUAAUGUAUCGGAACGUGCCCAGUAGCGGGGGAUAACUACGCGAAAGCGUGGCUAAUACCGCAUACGCCCUACGGGGGAAAGCGGGGGACCUUCGGGCCUCGCACUAUUGGAGCGGCCGAUAUCGGAUUAGCUAGUUGGUGGGGUAACGGCCUACCAAGGCGACGAUCCGUAGCUGGUUUGAGAGGACGACCAGCCACACUGGGACUGAGACACGGCCCAGACUCCUACGGGAGGCAGCAGUGGGGAAUUUUGGACAAUGGGGGCAACCCUGAUCCAGCCAUCCCGCGUGUGCGAUGAAGGCCUUCGGGUUGUAAAGCACUUUUGGCAGGAAAGAAACGGCACGGGCUAAUAUCCUGUGCAACUGACGGUACCUGCAGAAUAAGCACCGGCUAACUACGUGCCAGCAGCCGCGGUAAUACGUAGGGUGCAAGCGUUAAUCGGAAUUACUGGGCGUAAAGCGUGCGCAGGCGGUUCGGAAAGAAAGAUGUGAAAUCCCAGGCUUACCUUGGAACUGCAUUUUUACUACCGGGCUAGAGUGUGUCAGAGGGAGUGGAAUUCCGCGUGUAGCAGUGAAAUGCGUAGAUAUGCGGAGGAACACCGAUGGCGAAGGCAGCCUCCUGGGAUAACACUGACGCUCAUGCACGAAAGCGUGGGGGAGCAACAGGAUUAGAUACCCUGGUUAGUCCACGCCCUUAACGAUGUCACUAGCUGUUGGGGCCUUCGGGCCUUGGUUAGCGCAGCUAACGCGUG
rnacentral:rRNA from 1 species